GGAGGGGGCCAGCGUUGUUCGGAUUUACUGGGCGUAAAGGGCGCGUAGGCGGCUACGCAAGUCGGACGUGAAAUCCCUCGGCUCAACUGAGGAACUGCGUCCGAAACUGCGUAGCUCGAGUCCCGGAGAGGGUAGCGGAAUUCCCAGUGUAGCGGUGAAAUGCGUAGAUAUUGGGAGGAACACCAGUGGCGAAGGCGGCUACCUGGACGGGUACUGACGCUGAGGCGCGAAAGCUAGGGGAGCAAACAGGAUUAGAUACCCUGGUAGUCCUAGCUGUAAACGAUGAGCACUUGGUGUUGCGGGUAUCGACCCCCUGCAGUGCCGAAGCUAACGCAUUAAGUGCUCCGCCUGGGGAGUACGGUCGCAAGGCUG
rnacentral:rRNA from 1 species